rnacentral:rRNA from 1 species
CCUACGGGAGGCAGCAGUGGGGAAUAUUGCACAAUGGGGGAAACCCUGAUGCAGCGACGCCGCGUGAGUGAAGAAGUAAUUCCUUAUGUAAAGCUCUAUCAGCAGGGAAGAAAAUGACGGUACCUGAGUACCAAGCCCCGGCUAACUACGUGCCAGCAGCCGCGGUAAUCCGUAGGGGCCGAGCGUUUACCGGAUUUACUGGGUGUAACGGGAGCGUAGACGGGAGUGCAAGUCUGGAGUGAAAGGCGGGGGCUCAACCCCCGGAUUGCUGUGGAAACUGAAGGGCUGGAGUGCAGGAGAGGAAAGUGGAAUUCCUAGUGUAGCGGUGAAAUGCGUAGAUAUUAGGAGGAACACCAGUGGCGAAGGCGGCUGACCGGAGUGUAACUGACGUUGAGGCUCGAAAGCGUGGGGAGCAAACAGGAUUAGAUACCCUAGUAGUC